ACGAGGGGCUGCUUCUGGCACUUGUACUGAGCCAUCAAGCCCAGGAUUUUCUCCCUGCUCAGAUGCUGGAGCCAGCUGGAGUCAGACCAAAGCUGAGGAGCUGCUCGCUCAUCUGGACAAGGAGAUGCUUUCCUCUGGCUGAGACAAAUGGAUGAGGCCGUACCCUCUGACAUCCCAGCUGCUGCUUCUGCACUCCAAUGCAAUAAAUCCAUCCUGGGAGGAGCCCGAGUCAGCCCGGUCCAAAGGGCUCAGCCCUGGAGCAGGAUGGGACCGGGAUGGGUGCUGCUCUCACACCCCACAGCCUCACGUCUGCCCUCACCGCUGCUGGAACCUCCCUCAGCCAUGAAGAUGCCUCCGAAUUAGGGAUGUUAUUAACUACAAGCUGCUUUUCCCCUGGCUGCUGCUUGCACAAACGAUAACUGAUUUCAAAUGAAUUGAGGCAAUUACUGCAGUUUUCCUAAAACAGAUGACGGCAAUACUCCGGUAAGGAGGAGCAAUCCCAGCUGCAGCGUGGAUAAGAGUUAAGAUGCUGAAAUGCCCGUUGGGCCCAAAUUUCCAGCUGUCACAGUUUCCUGGUCUACGUCUGGCCGCUUUUCUCAAUCGUGUGUGGAUUCAGGCAGCAGCAGCCAGGAGCUGAGGCACCGCGGGCUGCAGGAGGUGUCUGCUCUGCAAGCAAUCAUUUGCUAUCAGUGAGAGAGACUGCAACAAUCCUUGCUGUUUGCAAGCAAGCGGGGCCUGAAAGCAUCAAUGCAUUUAUGG
rnacentral:lncRNA from 7 species